rnacentral:rRNA from 1 species
AAUAUUGCACAAGGGAGGGAACGCUGAUGCAGCAACGCCGCGUGAGUGAAGAUGGUUUUCGGCUCGUAAAACUCUGUCAUUGGGGAAGAAUAAAUGACGGUACCCAAUGAGGAAGCCCCGGCAAACUACGUGCCAGCAGCCGCGGUAAUACGUAGGGGGCGAGCGUUGUCCGGAAUUACUGGGCGUAAAUGGUACGUAGGCGGCUAUAUAAGUCAGGUGUGAAAUACCAGUGCUUAACACUGGAAUUGCAUUUGAAACUGUGUAGCUUGAGUGCAGGAGAGGAAGGUGGAAUUCCACGUGUAGCGGUGAAAUGCGUAGAGAUGUGGAGGAACACCAGUGGCGAAGGCGGCCUUCUGGCCUGUGACUGACGCUGAUGCACGAAAGCGUGGGUAGCAAAC